rnacentral:rRNA from 1 species
AUGCAGUCGAACGCUGAACCACUUUCGGGUGGGGAUGAGUGGCGAACGGGUGAGUAACACGUGGGUAAUCUGCCCUGCACUCUGGGAUAAGCCUUGGAAACGAGGUCUAAUACCGGAUAUCACUUUCUCUCGCAUGGGAGAUGGUUGAAAGUUCUGGCGGUGCARGAUGAACCCGCGGCCUAUCAKCUUGUUGGKGGGGUAGUGGCCUACCAAGGCGACSACGGGUAGCCGGCCUGAGAGGGUGACCGGCCACACUGGGACUGAGACACGGCCCASACUCCUACGGGAGGCAGCAGUGGGGAAUAUUGCACARUGGGCGCAAGCCUGAUGCAGCGACSCCGCGUGAGGGAUGACGGCCUUCGGGUUGUAAACCUCUUUCGCCRGGGACGAAGCGCAAGUGACGGUACCUGGAUAAGAAGCACCGGCUAACUACGUGCCAGCAGCCGCGGUAAUACGUAGGGUGCGAGCGUUGUCCGGAUUUAUUGGGCGUAAAGAGCUCGUAGGCGGUUUGUCGCGUCGGCCGUGAAAUCUCCACGCUUAACGUGGAGCGUGCGGUCGAUACGGGCAGACUUGAGUUCGGUAGGRGAGACUGGAAUUCCUGGUGUAGCGGUGAAAUGCGCAKAUAUCARGAGGAACACCGGUGGCGAAGGCGGGUCUCUGGGCCKAUACUGACKCUGAGGAGCGAAAGCGUGGGGAGCGAACARGAUUAKAUACCCUGGUASUCCACGCUGUAAACGUUGGGCGCUAGGUGUGGGCGACAUCCACGUUGUCCGUGCCGUAKCUAACGCAUUAAGCGCCCCGCCUGGRGAGUACGGCCGCAAGGCUAAAACUCAAAGGAAUUGACGGGGGCCCGCAC